GUGUUACUGAGUGUAAUGCUGCGAAGCCACCUAUAUCCAUGGAUGUGUGGCGUGAGAGACCCCAACAGGCAACUCCAUGGAUGUCCCUAUGUCAGUCUGAUGCAGGGGGCAUGGUGGGAGCAGACUUCGGAAGCUGGAGGAGAGUGUCCCAGCCAGAGAAGGAGAAGUGAGGACAGAGACCCAGAUUGGGAUGGAAGCAGGACCAGGUGAGGAAAAAAAUUCUCCGCUACAACUGUCAGCAAAAACAAACCCACUGCUGCCCACGUACUGGCCUCUGGAAUGGUAAAAUAAUUAAAUGUGUUAUUUUAAGCCACUACAUUUGUCAUAUUUGUCAUACAGUAGUAGAAGGAAUGGACACAGCUAUUAAAAUAAACACUGGGGCCAGAGUGCAAAAUCUCUGUGGGAUCCUACAUGUAAAAUCAAUUUUCUCUUUUUAAGUCCUUCCAUCUUCCUUUCCUUCAGCACCCAAGUCCUGCCUUGCCCCUGACUCUCCUCCUCUUCCCUUAGCCUCUUUCCUGUUGAGUGCACAGGGGCUUUGUUUCCUAACAUCUCUCAUGUUGUCGCCCAUGGACAUCUCAGGCACUUCCCACUGAGGAACUGUAGUCGUCAGGGCUCCUGAGAGGAAGAGAGGCUAUAGACUGAAUAUGUACCCAAGGGGGAUUUAUUAGAUUGGCUUACCUGACGUGAUUUGGAUAGUCACCUCAAUGGUGGCUUUCUUCACCCCGGAGAAGAUGAAAACUGUAGCUGUUGGGUCCAUGAAGCUGGAGUCUUGGCAGCCCCAGACUGGAGAGCGACUGACUGGUCUUCAGUGUACAUUGGAAGCCUGAUGACGCUGCAUCACUGAUGCAGCAACAGCGGCGAUGGCAGCAACAGGGUCGAUGAACUUGCCGAUGAGAUGUGAAGGCAAUGAGGCAAACAGCAAAGCUUUGCCCUUGGAUCUCCUUUUUUUCAGGGCUGCUGCCUGUUCUAGAAAACCCUCACCGAUGUGCCCAGCAGCCUAUCUUUAGCCAUUCCAGACCCAGUGAAUCUGAGAUGAAAAGACUAAACCGUCACAGGGACCAAGCCCAAGCAGGGUCAAGUGUUAGAGAUAACCUAGUUUGUGUCAAGUUGACAAAAAAACCAACCAGGACACAGUUCAUGAAGAAAAUACUUUUCCUUAGCACAUGGUUUGGGAUCCUGUUGUGUGACUUGUCCAGGCACCAGACCAAAGAAACAUCCUAUUCGAGUGGAGCUUGGCGAGCCAGUGAGUUUAUUGGGGUUACUUACAGGAGCAGGGGGGUGAGCUUUGUGAGCCAGUGAGUUUAUUGGGGUUACUUACAAGAGCGGGGGUGAGUGAAAGGCAGUACAGCAGGGCGAGUCUCUGGAAGCUGUGUAAGUGGAGUCGCCUGCCUAACUUGCGUGCAGUUCCAUGCAGAAGUCUGCUUCCUUCCACAAGAGCCUGUGUGAGCGUGGGGUGGAGUCUUGUGAAAUGUGUAGCCUUCUGAACUUUGUAAGUUUCCGCUACAUUCAGGGUCUUAGGAGUUUUCCUCUUCCACUUAGGAGGACACAGCUACACAGCAGCUCCAAACAGUAUAGCAUGGGCUCCGGUGUGGGCCCUGCAUCGGAUGGCUGGAGCAUGGGAGGCAGGGAAGGACGGCAUGACUGGCAAAAGCAGAGAGGAGCCAGAUAGGGCCAGGCUCAGCUGAUGUAAAAAUCUUCUUGUUAUCAACUAACAACUGACUAAGGUCCUUCAAGAAAUCCAUUCAACCAUUCAACCUUUUCUGUCUUCCUUUCCUCUCUCUCUCUCUUUUUUUUUUUUGACAGAGCUUUUUUGUGUGCCCCUGGCUGUCCUGGAAUUUGCCCUGUAGACCAGGCUGGCCUCAAACUUAUAGAGAUCCACUUGUCUCUGCUGAGAUUAAAGGUGAGCACCACUACCACCGGCUCCAGUCAACGUUUUCUAGCCACCCCCGACCCCCACAAGAUCUCAUCCCCAGAGACCAAGCUCCCAGGCAUGAACCUCAAGAACAUCUUAACUAUAGCAAGCACUAAUAUUCUCAUUCUCUCUCCAGCUGUGUCAACCAAGGGGCCGUGUUUACAGUGUCUUUUCACAAGGACAGUGCAGAGCUGGUGGCAGAGCUAGAAGCCGGCCUCAGUCUGCUCCUUUGUCUUUGUGGUUUGCCCAUCUCCAGUGUCCUCUGUUGUCUAAUCUUGGGUGCUUUGCUUCAGCCCAUGUCUAGGAGGGUUUCACGGCUCUGUUUGGCAGUAGGUGAGUCCUGUGGUUUCUUCUCACCCGGCACAUUAAGAAGGACCUCGGCAUCCUUGGCUGUGGGGACUCCUUCAGCCUCUGGGGCUGUACAUCACUGCAGACAACUCACUCACUUUCCCAUCUGCCUUUUAAAUGCAAGCCAGGAAAACAGAAUGCCAGACCCCUGGGUACCCCGAAUUGCCCCCCACCCUAGGCUUUGAUGGGAGUCUCUGCUUCCCCAUGCUGUGGGCACCCUGGAAUUUCUAUACAGGAGGCCAUCCUUCACACACUAACCUUUGGGGCCCCCUAAGAAGCUAAGUCUCUGUUUAGCUUCAGCUUUGUAUCUGCUUCUAAUUUUAGCUUUCAAAUAACUUGCUGAUUCACAUAAUUAAAAAAUAAGGGUACUUCUCAACCGGCCGAAUUGUUUCUUGGUUUGUUGUCAGUGCCCUGUCUGGGCUGAUCAGACACUUGUUCACAUCUUCCCCAGAAAAGUCAUACCAUGACUUUUUUCUGGCCUCUACACACACACAUGCGCACACCUGCACACACUCUUUCCCUCACUCAUGCAUAUAAACGUGAAGACACACCUACACGAUAACACAUACAUGCACACACAUACAACACCACACACACACGCNNNNNNNNNNNNNNNNNNNNNNNNNNNNNNNNNNNNNNNNNNNNNNNNNNNGCACACACAUACAUGCACACACAUACAUGCACACACACACACACACACACACACACACACACACACGAUUAUGUACACAUCUUCUGGUACCCAAGAAGAUGUUAUCUACCAUGUUAUCUAGCAUGGCAAAAGGGACUUUGCAGAUUCAAUUAAGGUUAAACACCUUGUGAUGGGAGAUCUCUUCGAACAUUCAGUUGGUCUUCAUCUAACUCCAUGGGUUAAAGCAGAGUGUGUUCAGAGAGAACUGUGAUACGGAGUCAGAGAGAUAUGACUAGGACGGCCUCACAGCUAAAGAGAGACUAUAUAUAAGCCAAGGAAUUUGACAGCUUACAGAAGCGGAAAAUGCAAAGCAAUGAGCUAUUUUCCACAGACACUAAAAAGAAUGCAGUCCUGCCUACCCAUCUUGUCCCAGUGAGGCCCACGUGUCAGAUCUGACCUCAAGUACACUAUACAUGAAUACGUGUGCUAGAUUUGUGGGGGUCCGUUACAAAGACAAUGGAACCUAUACGUUUUAUGCUGGAGCUCUAACUCCAUCACUAGGGAGAUUGCAGAAGUAUUAGUUCCUUGUGGUUAUGCGUGGAGUCUGGAGUCUGGCGGAUCUGGGCUGGAAUCCAGACAUAGCCGCAUGCCACUUGUGCAGUUUUGGACAACUUCCGUCACCCAUGUGAGCCUGUUUUAUUUGCAAACGGGAAAUAAGAGGAGGUUUGCUCUGAAGAUCAGAUAACAUACACUAAACAUUUAGCUGAGUGUAUAGAUACAUAGUACAUGUUCAAGAAAGGAUUGCUUCGGCACUGUUGUGUGCAGCGACAGUGAUUGUGACAGGGUUUUCUCUGAGUUCCAUGGGUCUUACUGCCCUCUCUUUUGACUCUUAAAGGAUCCAGGAAGCUACCUGCGAAUCAGCCCUUGGGGUUUCACAACCUCCUCCUUGUGGGGGUGGGCUUGACCCCCUUUAUGAGGGGCCCUUUUAGCCUAGACAUUGGCAGGCAAUGCAAGGGCUGGGACUCUGUCCUGUGUCUUGGGAGUGAUGUCUCCAUGACUGCCCAGGCUAGUGACUGCUCCAUGAGUAGGCAGUGUCAGCAAGGGGCUGGUGCUGUGCUUUCUCCCUUUCUGGAGUGGGACUCUUCACUCCUUGCCCCAAGGGCAUUUCAAGGGCACAGUUGGACUCUGGCAGGCUUCUGUGUGUCUCCUCAAAAGUGUAAACUUCCAGAGCGGUGGAGGCCUUCAGGUCCC
ensembl:lincRNA